rnacentral:rRNA from 1 species
UUGGAGGGCAAGUCUGGUGCCGGCAGCCGCGGUAAUUCCAGCUCCAAUAGCGUAUAUUAAAGUUGUUGCAGUUAAAAAGCUCGUAGUUGAACUUCGGGAUCAAUGGAUUGGUCAUGCCGUUGGUAUGUACUGGUCAUAUUGGUUCUCACCUUCUAAGGAACCAUAAUGUCAUUCAUUUGAUGUUUUGGGGAAUUAGGACUGUUACCUUGAAAAAAUUAGAGUGUUUAAAGCAGGCUAACGCUUGAAUGCAUUAGCAUGGAAUAAUGAAAUAGGACAUCGCAUUCUAUUUUGUUGGUUUCUAGGAUCGAUGUAAUGAUUAAUAGGGAUAGUUGGGGGCAUUAGUAUUCAAUUGUCAGAGGUGAAAUUCUUGGAUUUAUUGAAGACUAACUACUGCGAAAGCAUUUGCCAAGGAUGUUUUCAUUAAUCAAGAACGAAAGUUAGGGGAUCGAAGACGAUCAGAUACCGUCGUAGUCUUAACCAUAAACUAUGCCGACUAGGGAUCGGAUGAUGUUGAUUUUUUAAUGACUCAUUCGGCACCUUACGGGAAAC